AUUAGAUACCCUGGUAGUCCACGCUGUAAACGAUGUCGAUUUGGAGUUUGGGGGCAUGACCCUUGGGCUCCGGAGCUAACGCGUUAAAUCGACCGCCUGGGGAGUACGGCCGCAAGGUUAAAACUCAAAUGAAUUGACGGGGGCCCGCACAAGCGGUGGAGCAUGUGGUUUAAUUCGAUGCAACGCGAAGAACCUUACCUGGUCUUGACAUCCAUAGAAUCUUUCAGAGAUGAGAGAGUGCCUUCGGGAGCUAUGAGACAGGUGCUGCAUGGCUGUCGUCAGCUCGUGUUGUGAAAUGUUGGGUUAAGUCCCGCAACGAGCGCAACCCCUAUCCUUUGUUGCCAGCACGUAAUGGUGGGAACUCAAAGGAGACUGCCGUUGAUAAAGCGGAGGAAGGUGGGGACGACGUCAAGUCAUCAUGGCCCUUACGACCAGGGCUACACACGUGCUACAAUGGCGUAUACAAAGGGAUGCGAAGGUGCGAACUGGAGCGGACCUCACAAAGUACGUCUAAGUCCGGAUUGGAGUCUGCAACUCGACUCCAUGAAGUCGGAAUCGCUAGUAAUCGUGAAUCAGAAUGUCACGGUGAAUACGUUCCCGGGCCUUGUACACACCGCCCGUCACACCAUGGGAGUGGGUUGCACCAGAAGUAGAUAGCUUAACCUUCGGGAGGGCGUUUACCACGGUGUGGUUCAUGACUGGGGUGAAGUCGUAACAAGGUAACCA
rnacentral:rRNA from 1 species